rnacentral:lncRNA from 1 species
GAGACUGUUCUUGUCUUGAUUCUACUCAGCAGCGGCACGAGGAAUCCUUCUGCUACGGCUAUGCCUUUAGGGACUUCCUAGGAAAAUAUGCAAAGGAUUUCCCCGUGGCCUUGGGGCCUUGCGUUGGUGUUCCCUCAAAGCGGAAAGGAUGAUGUAGCGUAGCGGUGGUAAGUAUUUCCCUCGGUUUUGAGAACCAAGGUAUCGAUCCAGUCAAGGAGUAUCACAAGUGCCUGCACAAACACAAAGAACCUGCUCCCAACGCUAUGAAGGGGUUGUCAAUCCCUUAUAGAUUGUUCGAAAAGUGAGAACUGAAAGCAACAAAGUAACAAAGCAAAGUAAAAGAGGAGGUGUAAACGAUAGAUGUGAAUAGACCCGGGGGUCGUAGUGUUUACUAGUGGCUUCUCUCAUGAAAGCAAGUAGACGGUGGGUGAACAAAUUAGUGUCGAGCAAUUGAUAGAACCGCGCAAAGUCGUGACGUCAUCUAUGGCAAUGAUUAUAUCUAUAGGUAUCACGUCCAAAACAAGUAGACCGAUACUUUCUGCAUCUACUACUAUUACUCCACACGUCGACCGCUAUCCAGCAUCCAUCUAGUGUAUUAAAUCCAAAAGAACAGAGUAAUGCCAUAAGCAAGAUGACAUGAUGUAGAUGGACAAUCUCAUAUCAACGACACAGCCCACCUUGUUACCCUUGAUGGCAACCACUCAAUGUGUGCCUUGCUACCCCUACUAUCACUGGCAAAAGGUCACCACAUGGUAAGAACCCAAAACCAAGCACUUCUCCCAUUACAAGAAUCAUAGAUCUAGUUGGCCAAACAAAACCCAAGACUCGGAGAGACUUACAGGAUAUCAAAUCAUGCAUAUAAUAAAUCAGCAAAGACUCAAAUAUAUAUCAUAGAUAAUCUGAUCACAAAUCCACAAUUCAUCGGAUCUCGACAAACACACCGCCAAAGAAGAUUACAUUGGAUAGAUCUCCAUAAAGAUCAUGGAGAACUUUCUAUUGAAGAUCCAAGAGAGAGAAGAAGCCAUCUAGCUACUAACCACGGACCCGUAGGUCUGAAGUGAACUACUCACGAGUCAUUGGAGGGGCGAUGAUGAUGAUGAUGAAGCCCUCCAACUCCAAAGUCCCCUUCGGCAGGGCACCGGGAAGGGUCUCCAAAUGAGAUCUCGUGGAAACGGAAGCUUGCGGCGGCGGAAAAGUAUUUUCGUGGAUCCCUUGAUUUUUUUUCUGAUUUUUAGGGAAUAUAUAGGCGCAAGAUCUAGGUCAGGGGGGCGCCAGGGAGGCCACAAGCUUGCCCACCACCGCCACCCCCAAGUGGCGGAGUGGGGGCUUGUGGGCUCCCUGUAGCCCUCCUGGCUUGGCCCACACGCCCCCUGAUCUUCUUCCGUUCGCGAAAAAAUCAUUUCGGGGAUUUUAUUCCGUUUGGACUCCGUUCCAAAAUCAAAUCUGAAAAGAGCCAAAAACACAGAAAAAACAGGAACUGGCACUUGGCACUGAAUUAAUUAGUCCGAAAAAAGAUAUAAAAGGUACAUAAAACAUCCAAAGAUGACAAGAUAACAGCAUGAAACCAUCAAAAAUUAUAGAUACGUUUGAGACGUAUCAAACACUAUGGCCCCCAGGUCUACUUCACAUCAUAUUUUCAGCUCUACACUUUUACUUUGUUGCACUUUCCACCUUCAGAUCUCACCUUGUAAUUAAUCGUGAAGGGAUUGACAACCCCUUUAUAGCGUUGGGUGCAAGUUUGUUUGUUUUUGCGCACGUACAUUGGUGACUUGCCUUGAUACUCCUACCGGAUUGAUACCUUGGUUCUCAAACUGAGGGAAAUACUUACUGCUACUGUGCUGCAUCACCCUUUCCUCUUCAAGGGAAAAACCGACGCAAGCUCAAGAGGUUCCAUGCUAUUAUCUUGUCAACUUUGGAUUUUUUGUAUGCUUUUAUAUCUUUUUUGGGACUAACCUAUUAACUCAGUGCCAAGUGCCAGUUCCUGUUUUUUCCGUGUUUUUUAGCCUUUUCAGAGAAGAAUAUUAAACGGAGUCCAAACAAAAUAAAAUCUUCGGAAUGAUUUUUUCUGUAACAGAAGAUACGCAGGGAACUUGAGAACCAAGGCAAAGGAUCCCGGGGGAGGCCACAAGCCCCCUAGAUGCGGCCUGGGGAGCGCGCAUACCAGGCUUGUGGGCCACCCCGUGGCUCCUUUGCCCUACUUCUUCCUCCUAUAAAUUCCCUAAAAACAAAAACUGUCAGAGAGAGCCAUGAAAAUACUUUUCCGCCGCCGCAAGCUUCUGUCUCCGAAAGAUCCCAUCUGGGGACCGUUCUGGUGCCCUGCAGGAGGGGGAUUCGGACACGGAGGGCUUCUUCAUCAACACCAUUUCCUCUCUGAUGAUGCGUGAGUAGUUCACCACAGACCUUCGGGUCCAUAGCUAGUAGCUAGAUGGCUUAUUCUCUCUCUUGGAUCUUCAAUACAAAGUUCUCCACGAUCUUCAUGAAGAUCUAUCCAAUGUAAUCUUCUUUUGCGGUGUGUUUGUCAAGAUCCCAUGAAUUGUGGAUUUAUGAUCAGAUUAUCUAUGAUUAUUAUUUUAGUUUCCUCUGAUCUCUUAAAUGCAUGAUUUCGUAUCCUUGUAAUUCUCUUCGAGUUGUGGGUUUCAUUUGGCCAACUUGAUCUAUAAUUCUUGCCAUGGGAGAAGUGCCUGGUUCUGGGUUCAUACCGUGCGGUGUCCUCACCCAGUGACAGAAGGGGUAGCGAGGCACGCAUCGUGUUGUUGCCAUCAAGGGUAAAAAGAUGGGGGUUAUAUAUAUUGCAUGAAUUUAUCCCUCUACAUCAUGUCAUCUUGCUUAAGGCGUUACUCCAUUUGUUAUGAACUUAAUACACUAGAUGCAUGCUCGAUAGCGGUCAAUGUGUGGAGUAAUAGUAGUAGAUGCAGAAAGUAUCGGUCUACUUGUUUUGGACGUGAUGCCUAUAUGUAUGAUCAUUGCCUUAGAUAUCAUCAUGAUUUGCGCAAUUCUAUCAAUUGAUCGACAGUAAUUCGUUCACCCAUCGUAAUACUUGCGUUUAUGAGAGAAGCCUCUAGUGAACACUAUGGCCCCUGGGUCUACUUCAUAUCAUAUUUUCGGCUCUACACUUUUACUUUGUUGCACUUUCCACCUUCAGAUCUCACCUUGCAAUUAAUCUUGAAGGGAUUGACAACCCCUUUAUAGCGCUGGGUGCAAGUUUGUUUGUUUUUGCACAAGUACAUUGGUGACUUGCCUUGAUACUCCUACUGGAUUGAUACCUUGGUUCUCAAACUGAGGGAAAUACUUACUGCUACUGUGCUGCAUCACCCUUUCCUCUUCAAGGGAAAAUCCAACGCAAGCUCAAGAGGUAGCAUGCAUCCUCAGACCCCGCCCGGCGGGUCACCAGGCGUACCUCGCCGUGCUGGGCAUCGGCCCCUAUCUGACGCUGCCCGCCACAUGUGGCUAUGGCGCUGCCCCAACUCCUGCCUACGACGCCCCUCUCACGCCGGCCUACGGCGGGGCCCGCCUCAGGUGUCACCACCGUGGGACCCGACUCUUCUCGCCGCCCUGCAUUUGGCUCCGUCGCCAUCCAAUUAUGGCGGUGGAGGUGACUGGUUCAUGGACUCGGGCACCACUGCUCAUAUGACUGCGCAUCCCGGUAACCUCAUGUCUUCCACUCGUGUCCAUACUCCCACUUGUAUCACUGUUGGUAACGGUUCCUCCCUACCCAUAACUCAUGUCGGUCAUACCUCGUUUCCUUCCGCCAUCACUCCUAUUCAUAUGUCUAAUGUUCUCGUUUCUCCUGACCUAGUUACUAAUCUUGUAUCUGUUCGUCAACUCACUCGUGACAAUCCUAUUACUGUUGAAUUUGACGCCGCUCGUUUUUCUGUGAAGGACGCCCAUACACGGAUGGUUCUCUUCCAAUGUGACAGCCCGGGGCCGCUCUACUCGGUGCAUCGCCCCGCCGCCACCACCACUCUUCCGACCGUCUUCGCCGCCAGUGUCGAUCUUUGGCACGCCCACCUCGGUCAUCCCAACUCCACCGUCUUGUGUCAAAUUCUUCAGAUUUUUUCAUUCUCAUGUAAUAAGGUUGAGAACCACACUUGUGAGGCCUGCCGCCUUGGCAAACAUGUGUGUCUUCCGUUUACGAGUCCACACACAUUUCCACCUUUCCGUUUCAAUUGCUGCAUAGUGAUGUUUGGACGUCCCAGGUUGCGAGCAACACGGUUAAUUUAUACUACUUGGUGAUCUUGGAUGAUUUUUCGCAUUAUGUGUGGACCUUCCCUCUUCGUCGCAAGUCUGGCGCACUCGCCACGCUCACCGCCUUUUAUGCCUAUGUCACCACCCAAUUUGGUCGUCCCAUCCAAGCCUUGCAAACUGACAACGGCGAAGAAUUUGGCAACGUUGCUUUUCGCCACCUUCUUUCGACCCACCGCACCACCUUCCGUCUCACCUGCCCAUACACAUCUUAGCAAAAUGGUCAUGCCGAGCGUGUCCUUCGUACUCUCAAUGACUGUGUCCGCACAUUGCUCUUUCACUCCAAUGUGCCCCCUGUUUCUGGCCAGACGCCCUUGCGACCGCCAGCCUCCUGCUCAACAUUCGUCCGACUCGUUCUCGCUAGAACUACACCCCUCACGAGCUCCUCUUUAACGUAGUUCCAUCCUAUGAUAGUCUCCGCAUCUUCGGGUGUCUGUGUUAUCCUAGCACCGCAUCCACCACCCCUCAUAAACUCGCCCCUCGGUCGGUUCCAUGUAUCUUCCUUGGUUACCCCCCCCCAACACCAAAGGUUAUCGCUGCUAUGAUCCAGUCUCCCAACGUGUUUUCACUUCACGACACGUGUACUUUGAUGAGCUGUUGUUUCCGUUUCAGCAGGUACCUCCCCCCACCUCAGCGCCUUCUGCGGUGCGGCUCGCCCCUGCUACCACCCCUGGCGAGCUGCACUACACGUCACGCCGCGCCACCCUGGCCGUCCCGCGCCCCGGGCAGGCCCUGCUGGCGCCCCGAUUGUCAUGGCUGACCCCGUGGCUGCGGCUCCCUCGGCGGCCCCCGACAUCGCCCCCGCUACCACCUGUCUCUUAUACACAUCUCCGAGCCCACGAGACCNNNNNNNNNNNNNNNNNNNNNNNNNNNNNNNNNNNNNNNNNNNNNNNNNNNNNNNNNNNNNNNNNNNNNNNNNNNNNNNNNNNNNNNNNNNNNNNNNNNNNNNNNNNNNNNNNNNNNNNNNNNNNNNNNNNNNNNNNNNNNNNNNNNNNNNNNNNNNNNNNNNNNNNNNNNNNNNNNNNNNNNNNNNNNNNNNNNNNNNNNNNNNNNNNNNNNNNNNNNNNNNNNNNNNNNNNNNNNNNNNNNNNNNNNNNNNNNNNNNNNNNNNNNNNNNNNNNNNNNNNNNNNNNNNNNNNNNNNNNNNNNNNNNUCAGCCUGCUGCAACCGCGCCCCUUCACGGUGUGGUUACCCGGGCUUGGACUGGGUCACUUCGUCCGAGCACGCGAUACGGUGCCGAUGAGUAUGCGUGCGCCGCGUCUACCUCAGCCUCAGCUUUGCCCCCCACUUCCGCACACGCAGCCCUUCGGGAUCCGAACUGGCUCGCUGCGAUGCGUCAGGAGUUCGACGCUCUACAGCGCAACCGCACGUGGCAGCUUGUGCCGCGGCCUCCUCGUGCCAAUGUCAUCACCGGCAGGUGGGUCUGCCACAUCAAGACUCGCCCCCGCGGUUCCCUCGAGCGCUACAAAGUGCGGUGGGUCGUGCGCGGUUUUCACCAGCCGCCGGCGUGGACUUCACCGACACUUUCGCCCCGGUUGUCAAACCGGGCACGAUACGAUCCGUACUCUAGCUUGCCGCUUCUCGUACCUGGCCAGUUCACCAGCGCGAUGUGUCCAAUGCCUUCUUGCAUGGCCAUCUCGACGAGCAGGUGUUCUGUCAGCAGCCCACUGGUUUCGUCGACCCAGCUCAUCCGAAUCACGUAUGCUUGCUUACCUAUUCCCUUUACGGGCUGAAGGAGGCUCCCCGGGCGUGGUACCAACGGAUUGCGGGCUUUCUCCAGCGGCAUGGGUUCCUGUCCACACGGUCCAAUGCCUCCCUGUUCAUCUACCAUCAGGGAGCCACCACCGCGUAUCUUCUCCUGUAUGUCGACGACAUCAUCCUGACUGCGUCCUCGCCAGCACUACUUCAGCUGAUCACCAGUCGCCUUGGCACUGAGUUUGCCCUCAAGGACUUGGGAGCUCUUCGCUACUUCCUUGGCAUUGAGGUCACUCGCAAUGCUACUGGUUUUCACCUUCACCAGCAGAAGUAUGCCUACGAGAUCUUGGAGCGAGCUGGCAUGCUUAACUGCAAGUCUGCUCCCACGCCUGUCGACACGAAGGCCAAGGUGUCUGCCGUUGAGGGCUCUUCGGCGUCCGACGCUCCCUUCUACCGCUCCAUCGUCGGUGCUCUCGAGUACCUAACCCUGACGCGUCCGGAAAUUCAGUAUGUUGUCCAGCAGGUGUGCCUCCACAUGCACGCUCCUCGUGACACCCAUUGGGCACUGGUACGAUGCCUUCUUCGGUAUCUACGUGGUACCACAACCCUGGGUCUCACCCUGACGGCGUCACCUGACACCAGCCUCGUCGCCUACUCCGAUGCCGACUGGGUUGGGUGUCCCAACACGUGGCACUCCACCUCCGGCUACUGCGUCUACCUCGGGCCCUCUCUUAUUUCAUGGUCGUCAAAACGGCAACCCACGGUCUCACGAUCGAGCGCCGAGGCUGAGUACAUGGCAGUGGCCAACGCCAUUGCAGAGUGCAUCUGGCUGCGACAGCUCCUUCAGGAGUUGCACUCUGAGGUUCCCAAGGCCACACUUGUCUAUUGUGACAACGUCUCAGCGGUCUACCUCGCGGCCAACCCUGUUCAUCAUCGCCGGACGAAGCAUAUUGAGCUCAACAUCCACUUCGUUCGGGAGCAUGUUGUCCUUGGUCGUGUUCGCGUCAUGCACGUGCUCACCGAUGAGCAGUUCGCCGACUUUAUGACGAAGGGACUACCUACUUCGACCUUUGAGGGCUUUCGGUCUAGUAUUUGCGUCACCGGCGCUGCUUCGACUACGGGGGGUGUUGAACAUAUUGUAUAGGUUCACGUUGUGUGUGUGCACCUGUCACGUCUCCCUCCUCUUGUAACGUAUUUGUAACUUGGGAGACAAGACUUGAGUGCCCUCUUGUACCUAUAUAUGUCAUUUGCAUGAUCAAUAGAAUUAUCGAUGCACAAACCUUUCUCUACACCGGUGACCACCCGUCCAGGAGGGAUCUCGCCUCACCUUCCAUCUCCUUCCCUCUCUCCUCUCUAUCUUCCCGAUUUAACCUCCCUAUGUGCUCUCGGAUGUGCAAGGACGUCCGCCAUGGAGCUUUGAUGGUCGCCCCCUUGAAGCCCGUCAUCAUGCAUCUCCCCAGGAUUCGCACCGGAGAAGUCCACAUACGGUGCCUCGACCCCGUUCCCCGCCUACGCGCCGCCCCUAGCCGACCACAUCGUGCCGCGCCGCGCUCCUUGCACAGCUUCGCGUGCAAUCGCGUCUCUCCUCCCGCUCGCCUGCUAGGCCGUUGACUGGAUUGAGCCUCCGACUCACGUGCAGCGCCCGAGUGCGCCUCGCCCUGGCCAGCGUCAAGCCAGCCCACCUCGCGACAGGCGAGGCCCAGCCUCGAGCUGCGGCCUCCUUAGAUAAUCGUGAAGCCGAGCCCCACCAGCCCAUCACCAAGCCGGCCUAAGUGCCCCUAGUGAGCAGCCCUUCGCUAUUUUGCGCUUUGUGCAGUACUUAGUUAUGUUGCACCCAUUUCCUUGUUCCAGAUUCGCCCCCCAUCGUAUUUUCUUCCCUGCUACGAAUUUGCCUAAUUAUCCACUGAAUUACAUAUUUGCAGAAAAAAACCUUAUGUCCAUGCAUUUAAUAACUUGAGAACAGUGCAUAGGAUGAAAAUGUUUUAUAUAUGUAAAAUGUUUAAAAUUUUGUGUAGAUUCGUAAUAUCCAACUUUCAACCAUGUUUAAAAUGAUUAAACCUGGUGUUUGAAUUAAUUUGCAUAAAUGACAUGUGGAAACGGUUUAUUGCAUAACUAAAUAACUAUAGCUCCGUUUAAAAUGAUCCACAUAUGUAACUUGACUAGAGAAUUGUGUAGAAUAACAUGGUGACAUUUAUUUUGCUAUUUAACAACUCUAAAAUUAUGUUAUAGGCAGAACAGUACCGAAAUCUUAAUUGGCAUAUGGGGACUUUUCGGAAUUGUUAUUUGUUGUUCCGGCUUCAUUUAAACUUGCCUAGAAUCUCAUGUAGUUUCAUAAUAUCUCGUUCCAUCCAUGUUUUAAGAUGGUGUAACUAUCACUUGCAUACAUUUUGCAUUCAUGGCAUAUUAUCUUGUGAUGGUCAUAUCUUUUAGAACGUAGCUCCGUUUUAGAUGAUCUAUAUAUGUAAAUCGACUAGAAUGGCGUGUAGAAUCACAUGGUCAACUUUGUUUUGCUGUUUAAUAAUAUAAAAUGUGUUUAGUCAAGAUUUGGACCAAUUUCGAAGUUAACAUAUGGGGUCAUUUCGAAAUCCUAUAGGUUGUUUCCGAGUUCAUUUAAAAUGCCUAGAUAGUGUAGUUUAUUUAUGCUUCGCCUCUUGCCAUGUUUAACACAUUUGAACUUGUCGUGUACCUAAACGAGAGUGAACUAAGUAAUUAAAAUGUGGAGUUUCGUCAAUAUGCAACUCAUUGCAUAUUGUGCUUCACUUAAUGUGUAGAAGUUGAUUGUUAUGCUUUGCCGUUUCUUGCAUAAUUAAAUGGACAUGCAUCAUAUUUGAUUGUGCGUCAUGUCACGCAUAUGUUGUGGUGUUUAUCGUGUGUUGGUUGUUAUCUUUGAAUUGUUUCUUCUUGAUAGAGUUCCGAAACCGAUUCAGAGUGUGAGGACUCGUGCGACUACGUUGGUUCGUCUACUUCAUGGAUUCGUUCUUCUUCCAACCGGGAUCUCAUGCAAGAUGAUCAUUUCCCUGUAUACCACUACUAUCAUUGAUAUGCUAGUUCUCUCGUUUAUAGCGCUAUGUGUCGCUACUUACAACAUGUUAUGUCAAGCCUCCCAACAUUGCCAUAAAAAGCCUCUAACCCCUCCACAUCCCAACAAUCUUUGUUUGGCUAUGUUACCGCUUGCCUAGCCUUCUUAUAGUUUUGCUAGUUGGAGGUGCAGUUUCUUCUAUGUGCCAACAUGGAUGUACUUUUGAGUAUCACCAUAUUAUUUCUAUUUAAUUUAAUACACCUAUAUACUUGGUAAAAGGUGGAAUGCUUGGUCUUUAGCUCGGUGUUUUGUUCCAUCUUUGCCGCCCUAGUUACUUGUGUAUCGGUGUUAUGUUCCAUAUUGAGCGCUCUUAACAUGCUUGGGGUUGUUAUGGGGACCCCCUUGAUUUUCGUUUUGGGAUAAAACUCUUCUGGCAAGGCCCAACAUUUGUACUAUAUUUUCCCAACAUAAUAAUACUGAACACCAUUAUUAAAGCAUAGGGUGUCAUGAAACCGAGGAGUAAUUCAACAUAAUACAGGGAGGGCCAGUGUUGAUGGUGCUGGUCCUAAAUAGAGCACUGUGUGGGGAAAAUCGGGGGCAACUCGGGUGAUUUCUAUCACGCCACUGUACACUAGCUCAUCCGGUUGUAUUCUGUGAACGAGAUGUGCGGCUCCUAUCGGGAUCGUUGGCACGUCAGCCGGCCUUGCUGGAUUUACUUUUCUCGAAAGUCUUGUGCACGAGAUUCCAAGGAUACUUUGGACUAUCUCGAGGUUAAGGUUUUCUAUCAGAAUUUUCGAGGACAUUCCGGGUCUUCCGUGGUUGAGGUUAUGCCACGCAGCUCAUGGUAGUUUCUGACGGACUAGUUGGAGCACUGCUGUAGGGUUAAUAUCUUUCAGAAAGCCCUAGCAGCGGUUAUGUGGCAACUUGGAAACUUUGUUUAACACCCGGUCGUAGCAAACUUGAAGUAUACCAAUAUUUUUGUUAACGAAUGAUCUUGAACCUUUGUCCUUUCAUAUUGCUAUAUCAACAUAAUCAAACCAUACGUUUCUUAUUUGGUGAGCUACAUGAAAGUUUUUAUUAUAUCCUCCUUGAAUAACUAUCCUUUUUGAACUUCUCUUAUAACAUUUGCAAAUUACCAUUCCUAUUUCUUAUAAUCUCAUAAAUAUUUAAUUUAACCAUGAGAGUACAACUAUUUCUAUAAAAUAUAACCACUUACGUUCUCUAAAAGAUGUAAGUGAAGCACUAGAGCAACUGCCUAGCUCAGAAGGUAUAAGUGAAGCACACAGAGUAUUCUAACAAAUCAUGAUGAAAAUGUGUCUCUAUCAAUAGGUGUGUGUCCAUAAAACAAUGGUCGUGGAAAACUAAAAUAAAAUCAAACCAUAAUAUAUGACGCUCCUAUCAAAACUCAUAUUAUGUGAUGAGUAAAAAUAUAGUUCCAUGUGACAUACCAACAGAAUGGAGAGGAAAUAGGGAAUGCCAUCUAGGGCAUCCCCAAGCUUAGACUCUUGGGUAUUCCUUGAAUAUUACCUUCGGGUACCUUGGGAAUCCUCAAGCUUAUGGUAUUGCCGCUCGUUAUUCCUUCAUCCAUCGUUGACAUACCCUAAACUUGAAAACUUCAUUACACGAAACUCAACGGAAACCUCGUGAGAUAAUGAACAUAUCAUUAAGUUAUAAAUUGAUUCAUAUUUCAUUAUUGCAUAAUAGUUGUAUUCUUACUUAUCCAUGAAUGAUAGCCCUCGAUAUAAUCCAUAGCACCAUCAAAACAAGCAAACUAUGCAAGCAAAAAAUAGAAAAUGUGUGCAACGAAAUAGUCUGAAUGAUAUGUAUGAAAAACAUACUUCUAUAACUUCAAAAUUGUGGAAAAUUAAGAAACCCUGGUAAAUUUGUAUAGAAAUACCGUGUAAAAAUAUUCAGGUAAAAAUAUUUUCCAGUAAAGUCAGAGAAAUUAUGNNNNNNNNNNNNNNNNNNNNNNNNNNNNNNNNNNNNNNNNNNNNNNNNNNNNNNNNNNNNNNNNNNNNNNNNNNNNNNNNNNNNNNNNNNNNNNNNNNNNUCUUUAAUAUGGUAUUCUGAUUAACUAUUUCACAACAACCAACUAAAGUACCAAGCUAGCGAUAGUCAUUCCACCAUCCCUUUGUGUGCAGUCUGCACCAACCUCCGUGCUUUUAUCCAUCUAUUAAUCCACCACCUCAAGCUCCAAGAUUUCACUCUCACUAGCAGAAUCCACCCGCUAUCCUAUCAUGGCUCCUCACGCCGCUGUCCUCCUCUCCCUCCGCUCCUGCUCACCACCUGCGCGGCGGACACGCAUCUCCACUUCUUCCUCCACGACGUGGUCUCCGGGAGCAACCCGACGGCGGUGCAGAUCAUCAAGGGCCCGGCCUCGUCGUCCAACGCCUUCCCGGGCAUGGCCUUCGGCGACACGACCGUCAUCGACGACGCGCUGACGGAGACCUCGUCGCCGACGUCGGCGCCCGUGGGGCGCGCGCAGGGGUUCUACAUGAUGUCGUCGCAGUCGGGCAUGGUGCUGAUGAUGUGCGUGAACUUUCUGCUCACCACGGGGGACUACAACGGCAGCACGCUCGCCGUCAUCGGCCGCGACGACAUCAUGACCACCACGCGGGAGCUCUCCGUGGUGGGCGGCACGGGGAAGUUCCGGAUGGCGACGGGGUACGUGCUGUGGAAGACCAACAGUUCGAAAGGCGCCGACGCCACCAUCGAGCUCGACGUCUACACCACCGCCCUCAACGGCACCACCACCAUCGACGCCAACGCGCCAGUCUCCCCCAUCGACGGGGGCGGCGGCGGUACGGCCGGCGGGGCCACCGGGAAGUCGUCAUCGGGCGCGGCGGCGCUGAGGGGAGCAGUACCUUACGGGUGGGCCAACGCGUGGGUAGCCGCCGUCCUUGUAGCUCUGGCUGGUUGCGUUUGGUGAGCAGCUCGAUUUCGAUACACCAUGAAUCUGAGUGGGUGCGAGUGGGGUCCAUACAUACAACGGAAUAGAUCUUGAUUGGGCGUGAGGCGUUGGUCGGUGUAGUGGUGUGGUUGGUGAUGAUGGGGUGGGUGGUUUCUUGUCGCUGUUCGGGUUGGGGUUGGUGAUGUGCACAUGAUUGCGCAUCUCCAUGCGUGAGCGUGAGAGGUUACUUUCUGGCUACUACGUACAUCCAUUUGAUUAUUACCUAGAAGAACCGAUUCUCACACUUUUAUAUAUGGCGUUUUUAUUGGUUGUCAUGGCAUCAAU